ACCCCGUUAGCAAAACUGGAUAUGCAACAGAUUUCUACUUUGUCAGAUGCAGGUUCGAGUCCUGUGCGGGGUGCCA
rnacentral:tRNA from 1 species